rnacentral:lncRNA from 1 species
UGAGAGUUUGAGUGUUGGUUCCAUGCGGUAGCUGAAGGACUAAACAUGAUGUGAUUUCACCUGAAAGACAGCCUUAAGAUAUGAACUCCCAAGGAAUAACACACAGCUCUCUAUGUGAAUAUAUGGACAUAAAGCAGAUGGCAAGUGGAAGCAUCACUGGGCCCAGAAAUCAAUCCAAAGCUUCUAAGCAUGAGAUGACCCGAGGCAAGCAGCAGAAGGAAAGAGAAAGGCAAGCUCGGAUGUUUUCAGAGAAAGGACUGACUGUCCUUCUCUGGAGUUUGGG